GAACGGCGGACUGUUAAUCCGUAUGUCACUGGUUCGAGUCCAGUCAGAGGAGCCA
rnacentral:tRNA from 3 species